UUCUUCUUUUUCACUUUCUCCUUCCAUUCCAUGCUCUUCUCCUCUCUCUCCUCUCUCUCUCUCUCUCUAUCUGCAUCUGUAUCUGUAUCUCUGUGUGUGCGCACUUUUCUUCAUGGGGGAAAGGGAACAGAUUGCGAAGCAGAAAGGGUUUAAUUUUGUCGAAAACGUCGCGGAUUUUGGCGGAUUGGACAACGAUAGAAAUGGCUGUGGAAGAUUUGAUGAAAAAAUUGGAAUCCUUGGGAGUUUUUGUGCGGCAAAUUAUGCCCAGCAGCUGCGGCUUCAUCCAUAUGGGAAUUGUGGCUGCGAUUAGUAUUUUUGAUGGUGCUAUCCUAGCUGAGCUUUUGCGAAGAUUUUUUUUUUUCUUUUUAAUUUUUUUUUUUUUUUAAUUUUUGACUUGUUACCUUAUACUUUAUUUUGUUUUUGAUUUGUUCUUGACCUUGUAAGACCUUUUCUUGGCCUUACAAGGCCCGUCCGCUCACCUCUCAUUUUUCUUUGGCUAUUGAUUUUGUUUCCUUUUCUCCGCCCAAUUCAUAUUCUCCUUCCUUGUCUAUCCCUCCUGAGCUAUAUAUAUAUAUAUUUAUCCAUUAAUGCAAUUGAGAAACUUAUGGUUGGUAUGGUGUUGAUUAGAUUGGAAUGUGGGUGUGUUUGUAUGGUGGUGGUGUAGAGCUUUGGAUUUUGAAAUGGAGGGCAUAUAAAGGCAGAUGUAGAGAGAGUGAGAAGACAUUUGAUCUGGUGCAAUGUAUAUGGAGUGGCCCCUCUGGUUGAGUGGUUUGGUUUAAUUAUGUGCUGUGCUGUGGCUGAGAAAGUGGUAUGGGAAUAAAUGUUGUCUGCAGUGAUGAUGAUGAUGAGAUCAGAUCAGAUCUCUGCUGAAAUGGAAUGAACUCUACCCGUGACUUUCUUUUAUCCGUCUCUUCUUUCCUCUGCCCACCUACACUGUAUUAUUGGAUCCCCCACCCCCACCCUACCCCUACCCCCAUUGUUUCGUUUAUGUUUAUGUACAUGUACAUUUGGUGAAAAAUGGCUUCUUUUGGUGUUGAAUUGAAUUAGAGCUGUUCUUGUCU